GACGAACGCUGGCGGCGUGCUUAACACAUGCAAGUCGAACGGAUAGGCCCUGCUUUUGUGGGGUGCUCGAGUGGCGAACGGGUGAGUAACACGUGAGUAACCUGCCCUUGACUUUGGGAUAACUUCAGGAAACUGGGGCUAAUACCGGAUAGGAGCUCCUGCUGCAUGGUGGGGGUUGGAAAGUUUCGGCGGUUGGGGCUGGACUCGCGGCUUAUCAGCUUGUUGGUGGGGUAGUGGCUUACCAAGGCUUUGACGGGUAGCCGGCCUGAGAGGGUGACCGGCCACAUUGGGACUGAGAUACGGCGCAGACUCCUACGGGAGGCAGCAGUGGGGAAUAUUGCACAAUGGGCGGAAGCCUGAUGCAGCAACGCCGCGUGCGGGAUGACGGCCUUCGGGUUGUAAACCGCUUUCGCCUGUGACGAAGCGGGAGUGACGGUAAUGGGUAAAGAAGCACCGGCUAACUACGUG
rnacentral:rRNA from 1 species